rnacentral:rRNA from 1 species
AUUGAACGCUGGCGGCAUGCCUUACACAUGCAAGUCGAACGGCAGCACGGGGCAACCUGGUGGCGAGUGGCGAACGGGUGAGUAAUGCAUCGGAACGUGCCAUUGAGUGGGGGAUAACGUAGCGAAAGUUGCGCUAAUACCGCAUAUUCUGUGAGCAGGAAAGCAGGGGACCGCAAGGCCUUGCGCUCUUUGAGCGGCCGAUGUCAGAUUAGCUAGUUGGUGAGGUAACGGCUUACCAAGGCGAUGAUCUGUAGCGGGUCUGAGAGGAUGAUCCGCCACACUGGAACUGAGACACGGUCCAGACUCCUACGGGAGGCAGCAGUGGGGAAUUUUGGACAAUGGGCGCAAGCCUGAUCCAGCCAUGCCGCGUGAGUGAAGAAGGCCUCGG